rnacentral:miRNA from 1 species
GAGUGAAGAUGAGAUUGAGAGGGCAGGAGGGAGAACGGAGUAACAAAAAUGAAAACAAAAACUAAAAACUGAAAUCUAAUUGAAAUUGUUUCACUUUAAAGUUUUUGUUUUCACUUUUGUUAUUCUUCUCUCUCCAUCCUCUCCUCUCAUCCUCACUCC